rnacentral:rRNA from 1 species
GUAUAAGAGACAGCAGCCGCCGCGGUAAUACGAAGGGGGCUAGCGUUGUUCGGAAUUACUGGGCGUAAAGCGCACGUAGGCGGAUAUUUAAGUCAGGGGUGAAAUCCCGCAGCUCAACUGCGGAACUGCCUUUGAUACUGGGUAUCUUGAGUAUGGAAGAGGUUAGUGGAAUUGCGAGUGUAGAGGUGAAAUUCGUAGAUAUUCGCAGGAACACCAGUGGCGAAGGCGGCUAACUGGUCCAUAACUGACGCUGAGGUGCGAAAGCGUGGGGAGCAAACAGGAUUAGAGACCCCUGUAGUCCCUGUCUCUUAUAC